rnacentral:lncRNA from 1 species
CCUGACUUGGGAAACUCCAGAGGCAGAGGUGCUGGGCUGCCUUUCUGAGGCCGACAGUGUAACAGCCGCUGCCUGUCCUUGAUUCUCCUUUCUGUGCCUUCUCCAAAAGCCCUGGUGAUGGUGGUUAAAGGAGGUAGGACGUGGUUACCCUGGAGGAAGGUCUACUGCGGGAAGGAGCCACAGACACCUCAGAGGCCUCCAGAGCUGAGCCUGGAGUAAGCUCCGCACUCGGCGGGCGCCACGUCCCCAGCCCCGCCCACGCGAGCUCGCGGGGAACCCCGGUGACGUCACCACCCGCAGCGCCCUCCUUCCCGCGCUCUCCCGAAAGGACGCGAAGGUGGUGACGUGUCCGGAGCGCCAGCGCGGCUGCGCACAAGGCGCGUGACCAACCUGUGGCGCCGCCUGGCGAAAGAACAGCGGCGGUGUGGCUGGAAGCGACGUGCGGCGGCGGCGUGGUGACGUCAUCCCUCGGGGCCACGUGACCGCGUGCUGCUUUGGCCUCCCCCUCUACCGGUGUGGGGGAAAACGUGGCUUCAAUCCUUGCUUUACUUGGUCUCCUGAAACAGCUUGGCAGCUUGGUCGCGCGGCGGGUCAUGCGAAGUUUGAGGACCAAGAAACAUAAAAGACAGAGACUGCAUACUCAUCCUCUGCCUCUGUCAUUAACCGAAAUCGUGUCUCAGGACGGGACAGGAAGCACCAUCUUCAGCAACCUGAGCAGAUAGCACGUGAUGCUCUGUGUCAUUAUGCAGACGAGGUGUUUACGAACUGGUCCAUUUGUAGAGUAUCCCGAGUCAUUCAGGAGCUCAGUCCAGACCGCAGCCAUAGCUGCCGGACCCACACCAAGCAGUAGAGGGGAAGGCAGGAAGGAAGUCACACACCCUUUUGGGAACCAACCUUGUUAUUUGAAAUGCAGUUUUCCGCACAGCACUUCAUACAGUGUGAGGGUGCUUCCUAGAAAUGCAGGUCUUGGACCUUGCCUUAAAGCUUAAAAUUCAGAUAUACAGUUUCCUUGAUACAGGGUCUCACCUUGGCAGACCUGGUUCUACGUAGACAACGUUGCCCUUGAAGGUGUGCACCAUAGUGACCAGCUAGAAUAUGCAUUUCAACAAGAUCCCAGAGUGAGUCCUAUAAGUACUGGUUUGAUGGAUUAUUGUGCAUCAAGCCCUACCAUGAAAUAACUGUAGUAUCAGAGUCACCGGCGAAUGAAUGGACAGUUGGACAGAACUGUCCCCAGGGCUUGUAAGGCCUGGCCACACCCUAUUUCCACAUGGUGCUUGUUCAGCCUUUACUGUAAACACAAGGCAUUCCUUCCUUUUUUUUUCUGUCCAAGCAGGUUGCAGCUGGGUGUUUCCGUCAUUUGCAAUUAAAACAGAGUUAACAGUUAUAAGACAUUGCUAUCAAGGGGCUAGAGAGAUAGAUGGUUCAGCAGUUAGACUCCUAACUGCUCUUCCAGGGGACCUGGGUUCCCAGCACCUACAUGAUGGCUCACAAUCACCCCUAACUCCAGUUGCAGGUGCUCCAACAACCUUUCCUGAUUUCCCAAGGCACCCAUGUGUUCAUACAUACAUGUAGGCAAAGCGUGAGAAAAAAAAACAUAUCAAACCAAUAUAUUUCAAGUUGAAACAAUAUAUACAUAGAAGUAAACGAAACAUAAUUUUAGUACUGUGUAGAACUCAAUCUGUAGCCCCAGCGAGACUUCAGGAAGAGAAAUGCCUAUAACCCAGGGAAAGAUGAAGACUCAAUGAGAAAACCCACUGGUACAGUGUAAAGGGAAGUGAUGGCAGGUGUGUAGGAAAUGCUUCCUCCUCUCCUAGGAGGCAAAUCUUCACUUCCUUCACCAUCUCCAGUCUGGGAUGAGUGAACCUAGAACUAGGUUUUGAAUUUUACUAGCUGCUUUUUUAAAAAACAAAAAACCAGGUUCUCACUUUGUAGUUCUUGCUGUCCUGGAACUCACUAUGUAGACCAGGCUGACCUCAAACUCAAGAGAUUAGCUACCUCUGCCUCCAGAGUGCUCAACUGCUCGUAAUUUUGAAUAAUAAUAAUAAAUUUUAAAAAUGCCUUUAAUCCCAGAACUUGGGAGGUAGAGGCAGAUUAAUCUCUUGAGUUCGAGGCCAGCCAGGGCUACAGAGAAACCCUGUUGUGUGGGGUGGGUGGGUGGAGGUGGUGGUGAAUACGUGUUGCUGAUCCCCUAGCACUGUCUACUUUCCUGUUGACAAGAUACAUUCUCCCAAAGGUUCUAAUUGCAAAAUCAUGACAUCCAUGGCACCAUUUGGAAAAACUAGUGACAUUGUACUUUAUUUUGUUAUCAGAAUAAAGAGUAUGAUUGGAGCUCUCGGGCAGAGAGCGAGGACCCUGCUCGGCCCAGGGCAUCAUUAACUUUCC